AUCGAACGCUGGCGGCAUGCUUUACACAUGCAAGUCGGACGAGUGGCGAACGGGUGAGUAACGCAUCGGAACGUACCGAGUAUAGGGGGCUAACUGUCCGAAAGGUCAGCUAAUACCGCAUAUUAUUCGAGCGGCCGCUGUGGGAUGAGCUGGUUGGCGGGGUAAAGGCCCACCAAGGCGACGAUCCGUAGCGGGUCUGAGAGGAGGAUCGGCCACACGUGGACGGAGACACGGCCCAGACUCCUACGGGAGGCAGCAGUGGGGAAUUUUGGACAAUGGGCGCAAGCCUGAUCCAGCCAUGCCGCGUGUCUGAAGAAGGCCUUCGGGUUGUAAAGGACUGUUGUCAGGGAAGCGGUACCUGAAGAAUAAGCACCGGCUAACUACGUGCCAGCCGCCGCGGUAAUAC
rnacentral:rRNA from 1 species